AUUGGGAACUCCAUCUGCUUGGUUCUGAAUCUGUUUUUUGGUUGUGACCUGGUGUUCUGUCUUAUGACAGUCUUACUUGGAACCCAGUUGCCAUGAUGUGAGAAAGCCCAAGCUGCAGGAAGAUGUCAUGUGGAGUUGUUCCAAUCAACUGUCCCUCGUGAGUCCAGCCUUUGAGUCAUCCAGCCCCAGUGCCAGACAGGAGUCAUGUCUGGAUGUGAGAGUUGGACUAUAAAGAAAGCUGAGCGCCGAAGAAUUGAUGCUUUUGAACUGUGGUGUUGGAGAAGACUCUUAAGAGUCCUUUGGACUGCAAGGAGAUCCAGUCAGUCCUUCCUAAAGGAAAUCAGUCCUGAAUAUUCAUUGGGAGGAUUGAUGCUAAAGCUGAAGCUCUAAUACUUGGGCCAUCUGAUGCGAAGUACUGACUCAUUGGAAAAGAUCCUGAUGCUGGGAAAGAUUGAGAGCAGGAGGAGAAGGGAGUGACAGAGGAUGAGAUAGUUGGAUGGCAUCACUGACUCGACGGACAUGAGUUUGAGUAAGCUUCAGGAGUCGGUGAUGGACAGGGAAGACUGGUGUGCUGUAGUCCACGGGGUCGCCAAGAGUCGGACACAACUGAGCGACUGAACUGAACUGGAC
ensembl:lncRNA